rnacentral:rRNA from 1 species
CAGCAGUGAGGAAUAUUGGUCAAUGGGCGCGAGCCUGAACCAGCCAAGUCGCGUGAGGGAUGACGGCCCUACGGGUUGUAAACCUCUUUUGUCGGGGAGCAAAUUCCGCCACGUGUGGCAGAGUCGAGAGUACCCGAAGAAAAAGCAUCGGCUAACUCCGUGCCAGCAGCCGCGGUAAUACGGAGGAUGCGAGCGUUAUCCGGAUUUAUUGGGUUUAAAGGGUGCGUAGGCGGACUGUCAAGUCAGCGGUAAAAUACGGGGGCUCAACCUCCGCCCGCCGUUGAAACUGACGGUCUUGAGUGGGCGAGAAGUAUGCGGAAUGCGUGGUGUAGCGGUGAAAUGCAUAGAUAUCACGCAGAACUCCGAUUGCGAAGGCAGCAUACCGGCGCCCAACUGACGCUGAAGCACGAAAGCGUGGGUAUCGAACAGGAUUAGA